GGAUUCCCCUAGAAACUGCGAGUGAAGCGGGAAGAGCUCAAAUUUGAAAUCUGGCAGUUCUUGACUGUUCCGAAUUGUAAUCUAGAGAAGUGUUACCUGUGCUGGACCAUGUACAAGUCUCCUGGGAUGGAGCAUCAUAGAGGGUGAGAAUCCCGUCUUUGACAUGGACUACCUGCAUGUUGUGGUACGCUCUCAAAGAGUCGAGUUGUUUGGGAAUGCAGCUCAAAAUGGGUGGUAAAUGCCAUCUAAAGCUAAAUAUUGGCGAGAGACCGAUAGCGAACAAGUACCGUGAGGGAAAGAUGAAAAGAACUUUGGAAAGAGAGUUAAACAGUACGUGAAAUUGCUGAAAGGGAAACGCUUGAAGUCAGUCGCGUCGGCUAGAAAUCAGCCCUUGCUUUUGCUUGGUGUACUUUCUGGUUGAUGGGUCAGCAUCAAUUUUGACCACUGGAUAAAGUCUUUGGGAAUGUGGCAUCUCUUGAUGUGUUAUAGCCCAUUGUCGCAUACGGUGGUUGGGAUUGAGGAACUCAGCACGCCGCAAGGCCGGGUUUYGACCACGUUUCGUGCUUAGGAUGCUGGCAUAAUGGCUUUAAUCGACCCGUCUUGAAACACGGACCAAGGAGUCUAACAUGCCUGCGAGUGUUUGGGUGAAAAACCCAUGCGCGUAAUGAAAGUGAAAGUUGAGAUUCC
rnacentral:rRNA from 1 species